GUGCUCACUUCAGCAGCACAUAUACUAGAAUUGGAACAAUAUGGAGAAAAUUAGCAUGCCCCUGCGCAAGGAAGACAUGCAAAUUUAUGAAGAUUUUCCAUAAUUUU
rnacentral:snRNA from 1 species